rnacentral:rRNA from 1 species
UACAGAGGUCCCAAGCGUUGUUCGGAUUUAUUGGGCGUAAAGAGCUCGUAGGCGGUCUGUCGCGUCGGAUGUGAAAACCCAGGGCUCAACCCUGGGCCUGCAUUCGAUACGGGCAGACUAGAGUGUGGCAGGGGAGACUGGAAUUCCUGGUGUAGCGGUGAAAUGCGCAGAUAUCAGGAGGAACACCGGUGGCGAAGGCGGGUCUCUGGGCCAAUACUGACGCUGAGGAGCGAAAGCGUGGGGAGCGAACAGG